GACAAUAAUGUAUUUUUUUUUCUUUUAGUUAAGACAAUAAUGUUCUUUUCUUGUUUUUACACACUCCUGUUUGUCACUUACAUAUAGACUGUACAUGAUAAUAUUUUUGCAAUAUUAAAACUCCCUUACAUAUUUCUUUAAAUGACCCAAUUCAGAAAACCCAAACCUAUCAAAGAAUUGAUUCUUUGAAUAAAAGUAUUUCACAGCUUUGUUUCCCAGGUCUGCAAUUAAAUUGUCAUUUUUAUAACCCUCGACUGAAGUAUACAUUCUAUAGUUUGUGAAUAUUCUCAGCUUCCACAUGGAAAUUAAUAGGCCCUCCCAAAUUAGCAUUCUACAGAAAAAAAAAUCACAGAAAGUUUACAUCAUGUGGAAGGAAACAUGAGAAGGAGCCUGCCUGUUUCUUAGAGAUCUGGGCUGGAGUGUCAGGUGCCUAAGGAAAAAAAAAGGAAAACUAAGUGCUUAGCCAUGAGUAGCUCUGAAGUUCAAUGUCUAUAAUCUGACCUUGAUGUCCUGGUAAAACUGAAUGUAUGGUGUACAUCAAAUGUUUAAUCAUUUCAAAAGAGGUCUACUUUAUUCACUCUGCUUGAACAUCUGCACUGUUUCCCCACUGCAGUUAGCAUGGAACUGAUCUCUCUCUCUCUCUCUCUCUCUCUCUCUCUCUCUCUCUCUCUCUCUCUCUCUCUCUCUCUCUCUCUCUCUGUCUUUCCCUGCUUCUCUCCUUGGCUGUCUGCCUCUUUCUGUCCCUGUCAUUCUCUGUUUCUGUCUGUUUGCCUGUCUGUCUGUCUCUGUUUCUGUCUCUGUGUGUGUGUUCAGUAAUAGGAACAUGUUUGACAAAAGGAGCUGCAUCAAUCAAAGAAAGAAUUUGAGGUAAAAACAAACUAUAAACAAAAUGCACUGUUAAAAGACAAUAGAUACAUUUUUGUGCAAAUGCUUUGAGAAAAAUUAGCCCAGUAGUGUUGCUUAAGACCCUCCUUCUUCUUUUCUGUUUUUUUUCAAGACAGGGUUUCUCUGUGUAGCCCUGGCUGUCCUGGAACUCACUCAGUAGACCAGGCUGGCCUCGAACUCAGAAAUCUGCCUGCCUCUGCCUCCCAAGUGCUCUGAUUAAAGGCCUGAGCCAGCACUGCCUGACUAUACUGACUUCUUAUGUUCCACAUUGAAAGAGUAUGUUCAAUAACAUAGACAAAAUUCUUUGUAGCUUCAUGGUUAACAAACAGAUACCAUAGUGUUCUUUGAAAAUAUUCUUAAUAUAAUAAAGGGCUAUCGACAACCCCCAAAACUUCAAAUCCCUUAAUAAGCAGAUGUCAAAAGACCCCAAGGGCUUGAGUAGAGCCUGACUAUGACUGAGUUAUGUUAACUCAUGUGAUCCCUCUCAAGCCAAUAGCAGUACCUUCAUAUCACCAUGAAUUAAGUUGUGUACUUACAGGACUUGACCAUUAAACCAAACUUUGAAUUUUUCUGCUCAAUUAGACUGGAAGUUUUUGAAUAAUCGAAUAAUGGUUGCAUAAAUUGAAAUUCACCACUCAUUACAAGGAAACCUCUCGAUCUGUGGGUUGUGCAUUGUUUCCUUUCUAUGUUUUAAGUGGUACAAUUUUUGAUGAAGAAAGAGCUGAUUCACCCAUGUAUUGAUCUACUUCACUGAAGGAUCUCUGCACUGCCCUCCCCAUCCUGCGCACCCUACCCUGAUGAAGCUGGAGACAGCGUUUCUUAUUUCCAUUCUCAGUUGUUACAGAAGUACUUACAAACCUACUGUUUUGCACAUGAUGGGUGUUCAAAAUUACAAGC
rnacentral:lncRNA from 1 species